CUCUAUGUGAGUGGGGAGGGGAGGAAAAGGGAAUUUAAAGAACUAGAGCAAGAGAGGAGAAGGACAAAGUGCACGAAAUCAAAUAACAAAAAUUAAAGCCUUGUCUACUGGAAUACAUCAGAAUGAAAGCAAAAAUGGGCCUUUUACAGUCAUUAAGUAGCUAUGAAGGACUUUCGAAGUCAUGUAAUCCUGCAACUUCAAAAGCCGACUUUACCAUAGCGAAAGCUCUGCUAAUCACACAACAAUUGCAAAUUGAAAACCAAUCAGCUACAUCUGGAGCUGAUGGAGAAAGAUUUUAAUAAAAUUUUUAUUACAGGAAUUACUAUAAAAAUCACGUGGAAAACUAGCACCGACUUAGCACCGGAUUAUCAUGCUUUUAAACAUUUCUAUGAAGACCAUGGAAACCAUAUUAAUUCUACAACUAUAUAUAUGAAUUUGAUACUACCUACUAUUUUUGGGUCGCUAAUAUGAGUUAACUAAAUGUCAAAUUGCCUAAAAAUAUAAAGAAAGUGAAGUCGGUGGCCCAAUUAAUCGCUAUUUUGACGUUCAAGUUAGAGAAUAUUAAAAGCAAGUAUAUGAAAUGAGAGAUUUCCCAACGAGAUUAUCAGAUUCAUCAGAUUCAACUGAUAAAACUGUUAAAGCUUCAUCAGAUUUCUCAACGUGCAUGAUUCUUGGCGAUAAUCCCACUUACUAUUUUUAAUGAUUUGUCUAAUGCCACAUUGGAUAAAGCUUAUUUCUAUUGAACCGAUCUCUAUUUAAACUCCGUCUUGAUCAGUCUACAUUGGAUCGAGUCAGGUAUAAGAAGUUCAUCACCAUGGAGAUUGGCUCAAUUGUAGGGAUGAUACUAUACCAGGAUCAUUUAUUAUUGGUUUCAUCGGUCUAGCGAGAUGGUUAGAUGGGAGGAAAUGUUGCACUUUCAACUCUGCAGAGUACAAUAAAAAGGGCACAACUGCGACUGUGCGAAUACUAAAGGGUAAGAUGGCCGCGUCUUUAAUAAUUUUAACCAAGCCACCUUUUUACUGUAGAUAAAUGCAUUAAAAGAGACGAGUGUUCCUUUUAGAAUCAUUUAUCAUUAUUGUUAUGAUAUUGUUAUUUGUAAAUAAUAAUUCAUCAUUCAAAAAUUGGAAUGAAGAUUCAAAAAUUGUUAUGAUA